ACGGAAGGCAGCAGUGAGGAAUAUUGGGCAAUGGGCGAAAGCCUGACCCAGCGACGCCGCGUGAGGGAAGAAGAUCUUCGGAUUGUAAACCUUAGUCAACAGGGAAGUAGCAAGUGACGGUACCUGUGGAGGAAGCCACGGCUAACUACGUGCCAGCAGCCGCGGUAAUACGUAGGUGGCGAGCGUUAUCCGGAUUUACUGGGUGUAAAGGGAGCGCAGGCGGUACGGCAAGUCUGAUGUGAAAGCCCGGGGCUCAACCCCGGUACUGCAUUGGAAACUGUCGAACUAGAGUGUCGGAGGGGUAAGUGGAAUUCCUAGUGUAGCGGUGAAAUGCGUAGAUAUUAGGAGGAACACCAGUGGCGAAGGCGGCUUACUGGACGAUCACUGACGCUGAGGCUCGAAAGCGUGGGGAGCAAACAGGAUUAGAUACCCUGGUA
rnacentral:rRNA from 1 species